GCCGGUGUGGCGGAACUGGUAGACGCGCACGACUCAAAAUCGUGUUCCGCAAGGAGUGUCGGUUCGAUCCCGACCACCGGCACCA
rnacentral:tRNA from 3 species